CCUACGGGAGGCAGCAGUGAGGAAUAUUGGUCAAUGGCCGUAAGGCUGAACCAGCCAAGUAGCGUGAAGGAAGAAGGACCUAUGGUUUGUAAACUUCUUUUAUAGGGGAAUAAAGGUAUGCACGUGUGGAUAUUUGCAUGUACCCUAUGAAUAAGCAUCGGCUAACUCCGUGCCAGCAGCCGCGGUAAUACGGAGGAUGCGAGCGUUAUCCGGAUUUAUUGGGUUUAAAGGGUGCGUAGGUUGGUUUUUAAGUCAGCUGUGAAAGUUUGCGGCUCAACCAUAAAAUUGCCGUUGAAACUGGCAGUCUUGAGUGUGUUUGAGGUAGGCGGAAUGCGUGGUGUAGCGGUGAAAUGCUUAGAUAUCACGCAGAACUCCGAUUGCGAAGGCAGCUUACUAAGCCAUCACUGACACUGAUGCACGAAAGCGUGGGUAUCAAACAGGAUUAGAUACCCUGGUAGUC
rnacentral:rRNA from 1 species